AUUCUAAUUUUCUUAGUAUAUCUUUCUCAAUAGAGAAUAUAGUUAAUCUAUUUCAUCUUUCCCAUGACAUAGUUGAUCUUAAAUAAGUUUUUAUCAAUGGCUCUUUUUUGAGAUUAAACUAACUUUUCUAUUUUUCUCUUGGUUUUGAAGUUUUUCUAUUAACAAUUAUGCUAGAUAAUUACAACGAAACAACCUAUGAACACAAUAACAUUUAAAAAAAACAAAAUAAUUUAAUAACAUAAUUAAUUAAUAAGAGAAUGGAAAGAUAGAACUUGGAAAUUUGAGAACCAUAACUUUGAUGGAUUGAGGCUUUGAGUAGCAAUGAUUAAUGGAAAGUAAAACAAUUAAUUUUUUUUUCUUAAGUGAAAUGUAGGUAGAAAAAAUAGUUUUUUCACCAAAGCAAUAGGUUUCAUGUAUUUUUUUAUUGGAAAAAGAUAUUAAUGGAUAAUAAUUUUAAAAAAUAUGUGGCCUUUGUAGAGUUUUAGAUGAAAUAUAUGGAGGAAAUAAAUGGGAUUAAAAUUGUUAAUUAUAAUGUUAAAAUGAGACAUUAAUAACUAUAAUUUAGGAAUAAAAUUAGGGACCUUCAUCUAUAAUGGGGCCCUAGACAAUCGCCUAAGUUGCCUAAGGGAAGAGUCACCUAUGUCGCUAUCUGCCUCUGCAGUGAUUAAUGGGAAUAAUAAAGGGUCUUGAGCUAUGCAGGACAUAGUCGUCCAAUCACUCACAGAAACGUUAAACCCAUAAAUUUCGGUUGUUAUUUGCUGCCUUUUAUUGCUAUUACGGCCGCAAAGGAUCCCGUAAAAAGCGUUUUGUGGCCUAGUAAUGUAACGCUUAAUUAACGAAGUUCAAGUUUAACUCUGUGUUAAGCAGCUGUCCUUUUAAGACUGAGGUUCUGAAUUUGAAUUUUAGUGAGUGCAUGAGUUGGAUGAAGAAAAAAAAAGUCCUUAAUUUAUGCCAUCUGCCACGGCGCCCGAUUCCUCCACGUUGAAAAGUCUAUUCUUGUAAACAAAACUUGUAUUGGAGACAUUACCAUCUUGAGCUUGAGUGAAGUGAUGUGUUCUGACUUCUGAUAAUUAAAAUUGAACUUCUUAAUACAAAUAUAUGCUGAUUUUGAUGAUUUUUUUAUUUACUAUUUUUUUAUUUUUUUUAAUGGUAGAUCAAUCACUGCGGAGGCAAUUAUAAAUUAGUGAGAGAGCCACUAAUUCUUAGACUUCCAUAUACAUAGGCUUUAAACAAAAUCAAUGGCUUGCUUUAGAAUGAUUUUGAAUGUAACUAUUUUACUUAUUGUACCGUACCAAAAUUUUAUUCUUAUUUUUAUUUUUAAUAAAGGAUGGUCAAAAUUUAAAUUUAAAUUUUAAAGUCCCUACCUCCUCCAAGAUACGGAUUCAAGUGAUUAGUUAAAAAAAAUUACUUAAAAAUAACUGGAUCAAACCCCUUUAAACAAAUCAAAAUAUACUAAAUUCUAAUUGAUUAACCGUUAUCUAUAUCUACUAAUUGCAAUCUCAUAACUCUAAUAGCGGCUGAUAUGAAAGAUAGACUUGUUUAAUAUCAUGCAACAAUAUGAUUAUGAGUUUAACUAUUAAGAAUUAACAAAAAAAAAAACCCAAUUCUCGAUCCUAUCUUAUGAAAUUGAAAUGCAAAAGAAAUGAGGGGAGAAUUGACUCUUAUUCCGUCACUUUAAAAAGAAUAAUAUACUUAAACAAAAGGUGUAAUAGGGAAUAAACAUGCUAAUAAUAAUUAAUAAUGCCAAGGGACGCGGCCAGCCGUAGCAUUGCAAUCAGCAUAAUCAUAAUUUUGUGUGGAUGUGGCAAUCUUUAGCCCCUUCAUUUCAACUUUUAUUUGUUUAAUUUUCCAAUGGAUUGGAGGAAAAAAAUGGAAAAAAAAAUUGAGAUGCUGCAUCAUCCACAAUACCUUUUGAGAUAGGUGGGCAUCUUUAUUUCUUUAGCUUUGCUUUGCUUUGCAGUUCAUCAUGAGCACUUUGUUCCAUCCAACAGAGAUUCCCAUUGAUGAUUCAUGGGCUCAAAAAAUGGUUUGGGCCUUCACUAUUGGGCCCAAUUUUUGUGACAAAUGGUGAUAUGUGGGACCAUCAAAUUUAGUGGAAGAGAAGAAUGAAAUUGUGAUUCUAAAAAAAUUUUAGAAUGCUUUAUAUAUAUUACAACCAAUUGAUGCAUGAAUGACAUGUGUAGUUGAAUUUAAUACAACCACUAUUUUUAUUAUGGUUUUUUAAAAUAAAUACACACAUGUCAUGACAUUAUUUACUUGUUGUAUGACUGACAUGGUACCUCAGAUGUAUUUUAAAAUUUUUAGUGAUCCUGUGGUAAAAGCCACUCGUCUUUUUGAGAGGUGCCACAUAGCUUAUAAAUAUAAUUUAAAGAAAAUCUUGAAUAUAUUCACCAUAUGAUUCGGCUGGUUUUCAUUUGAAAAGUUAAAUAAAUAAGAAAACCAAAAUCCUAGGGAUACCACAGCAUCAAAAUGCAUAUUUAGAAAACGAAGAAAAAGAAAAAGGAAGUUCAAGAUUUUUGUUUCGUAUUGCAGUACUGAGACUUAUAAAUUAGCCAAGUAACUCACUUAUUAAAUAGUAAAAAUAUGAUUUUUUUUUUCUUAAGUAACUUAAUGGCAACUCAGUGUCCUGUCCAAUCGCGUCAAUAUGAUUGAAACUGCAAAAAUCUUUUUUUUUAAUACAAAGAAUUUUACUAACUCAAUUAAUUGACAUCUAUAAAAUAAAGUCAUUAAUAGAGUUACUUGCAGUAAUUAUGGCCUCUCCAGCUAUCAUUUGAGAUACAUUACAGGAAUAAUUUCAAUAAUUUUGGAGCCUAAGAUGACAAGGCAAAAUUAUGAUCAACCUACGAAACAAAUUGUCUUGAUAAAUAAAUAAAGAAGAAAAAGAAUUCGAUGGGGCUAACGGGAGAGAAAUAAUUGAACUUCUUUAAGACUUUAGCAAGCCUAGCAGAGACGGAUCACAAAUCCCAGCAAAGAUUUUUCAUUCCGUGGACAACAACAACAUAUUAAUGGAAAGAAAAAGAAAGGGCAUAACUGUACUUUUCCGGUACCUUUAUUACUUUAAUUCUUCAAUAUCACAUAAACAAUCAAUUUCGAAUAUGGUCCCAGCCCUGUAGUGCAAAUUCCCCAACAAGAUUUUAUUUAGAUAAUAAUAUAAUAUAACGGACAUGAAAUUAUAUAUUCUUCCCCACCCGGUAAAGGAAUUUAAUAAAAAUUAAAAAAUUCCUUACACGUGUUACAGGUGUUGAUUUUGGAACACUAAAGUUUUAAAUUAUAAUAAUUUGCCCAAUAUAUAUGGUCAACUCAACACAGCAUGCUUCUGUACGUAAUUACUAAUUAUUUACUCUUAGUUGUUAAUUAAGGCAAUUAGGAUGGACUGGUUGCGAUCAAAAUGGCAUAAAAGCAUGAUACAGAAAGUUGAGGAUUCAUAAAUUAUACACAAAGGUUAAACAAACUAUAAUUAUUUCCAGGUACUUGUUAAAUGUGAAUUUAAUAUUUUAUAACACCGUAAAAUAUUUUUACAAUACUGAAAAAUCAUUUUUUAAUAAAGAAAAUAAGUUCACACUAGAAGUACUCAAACAAACCAAAAGAGAAUUUACCAUUUUGUAGCCAAUGGGAUUUGUCCUUCCUGUGAUCGAAUUCAUAUGCUUGAUGCUUGAUCGUGUCGUUUUAAGAAGAAAAACAAAAGAUGCUUUAAUUGCUUGGCCAAUUUGGUCCUAGUCUACUUGCUUUAUUUUAUUACCCAGAUCAGGUCCCAUAAGAACCUACAACGAUAGAAGUUGAAGUCCACUUGUAUAUACUAUAUGGUUUAAUACAUUUGGAACGUACAAGAAAACUGGAGAUCGCAUGGGUCAUAACAUUCAAAUUAGAAAUGGUAAAAAUACCCGCCCGGUCCGGACCCGGACCGUACCCGGGCGUUGCGGGCCGGGUAUUACCCGGCCCGGGUAUGAAACCGGGUCGGUCUUGGGCAUCACUUGAUAAACCCGGAACCCGGAUUUUAUUAAAAAAAUUAUAAAAUAUAUAUUAUUUUAAAUAUUUUAUAUUUAUUUGACUCAUUUAUUAUAUAUAUAUAUAUAAUUUUAAACACUUAAAGUUUAUAUUUUCAUGUCAAAUUUUAUUGAAAUAAAUUUAAAACUUAUAAAAUUACCAAAAAAUAAAAAAUAUAUACACAUAAAAUAUUAAAAAAUAUAAAAUUCGGGUACUCGGAUUAAAACCCGGCCCGGACCCGAACCCGAACCCGGACCGAUUACAUCCGGGCAGGGUCCGGUCAUGGCAAUACCCGGACCCGGCCCGGGGUUUUGCCAUCUCUAAUUCAAAUCUCUCGGCAAUAAAAAAAAAAAUUUAAUAUUAUCUCCAUAUGUGUAAUCCAUUGUGUUGACAAGCAAGGAAUCAAUGAUUCAAUUUCAAGUGGAUACAUAAAUUUAUGUGGAUACAUAAAUUCAAUAAUUAUAAAUAAUAAAAUUAUUUAUAUUAUUUUAUAAGGAAGUAAAGGGAUGAGUAAAGUCGAAAUUAAUUUUUUAAUCCGUUAUUUUUUUUUAGGAUUCGAACUUAAGUGACUAAUUAAAUAAAAAUAUUUAAAACUACUCGGCCAAGCCUUGGGAAUGAUGAAAAUUAAGUUUAAUAAUAAAAAGAUACACAAAAUAUUUUACACUGUUCUCACUAAUAUUUUCUGAGAAAGAGUUGAACGUAGUGUAGUUGGUAGUAAUAUGCUGUACAGGUGCAUGAGUUGGUGGGUAUAAACAUAAAGCCUCUUUAUAUAUGAAAAAGAUAGAAUGUGUACACCUCUAUAACUCUCUUUAUGUAUGAAAAAGAUAAGAUGUUUAUACCCAUAUAACCUUGCUUUUUCAUCAUCAAGGUCUUAUUCCUGCUGCACCCCAAAUGAUUCCCUAUAUCAACCCAUUUAUAUACUUCUACUCUUCUUCACCCUCUUCCUUGCAACAACCACCUUUAGCUGAGAGCUAGAUACCACACUGUCUCUUAGCCUUCCUCUCUGUUUAUUUUUAUUUUUAUUUUUAUUUUUUUCUCUAAAAUGGCUCUAAAAUCCAUUUUCUUCCUUCUUGUGUUACUUACUGGUCUGUCCAAUCCUUCUCAAGCCAUCAGUGUUAACCAUGAGUCUCAGUUUUUCAAGCUUAUGAAGACCUCUCUAUCAGGAGAUAAGUUGUCUGAUUGGGAUAUUGAUGGAGGCAAACCUUACUGCAAUUUUUCAGGAAUUAGCUGCAAUGAUCAAGGGCAUGUCAGCAUGAUUGACAUCUCAGGUUGGUUACUGGCUGGCCAAUUUCCAUCUGGUGUAUGCGCUUACCUGCCUGAGUUACAAGUCCUUCGUCUUGCCCGGAACCAUGUCGACGGCAGCAACUUACUUGACAGUAUAGUCAAUUGCUCUCUCCUGGAAGAGCUCAACAUGAGUUUUAUGUACCUCACGGGAACACUUCCGGAUUUUUCUCCUAUGCAAAAUCUGCGGAGACUUGACCUGUCAAACAACCUCUUCACAGGCCAGUUCCCCUUGUCGGUGUUCAAUCUUACUAAUCUUGAGGUGCUCAGUUUCAAUGAAAAUCCAGGUUUCAAGUUAUGGAAACUGCCAGAGAGUAGUAUUUUUAGGCUGACAAAGCUUCGGAUUAUGGUCUUAGCAACAUGCGCGUUGCACGGUCAGAUUCCAGCGUCAAUAGGAAACGUGACUUCACUCACAGAUCUUGAAUUGACUGGGAAUUUCAUCACGGGUCAUAUUCCUCCGGAGAUUGGAUUGCUGAAGAACUUGCGACAGCUUGAAUUGUACUACAAUCAACAGCUUGCUGGCACUAUACCUGAGGAGCUUGGAAACUUAACAGAGCUCACAGAUUUAGACAUGUCGGUUAAUCACUUGAGUGGAAAAAUUCCGGAAUCCAUUCUCAGGCUUCCCAAGCUUCGAGUCUUGCAGCUUUACAACAACAGCCUUUCAGGAGAAAUCUCAAGUGUCAUUGCAAAUUCAACAACCUUGACCAUGUUAUCACUUUAUGACAAUUCUCUAACAGGGGAAGUUCCUCAGGAUUUGGGACAGUGGUCACCAUUGGUUGUUCUUGACCUAUCAGAGAACAAACUAUCAGGUCCACUUCCAGCAAAGGUCUGCAGUAGAGGUAAACUACAAUACUUUCUUGUUCUGCAAAAUAUGUUUUCAGGAGUGUUGCCUGAUAGUUUAGCUAGAUGCAAAAAUCUUUUGCGGUUUCGAGUAAGUAAUAACCAUUUGGAGGGGUCAAUACCAGAAGGUAUUCUGAGUCUUCCCCAUGUGUCAAUUAUUGACUUGAGUUACAACAGUUUCAGUGGUCCAAUUGCUAAUACAGUUGGAAAUGCUAGAAACUUGUCAGAAUUGUUCAUGCAGAGAAACCAGAUUUCAGGGUUUAUACCGUCUGAAAUUUAUCGAGCUAUCAGUCUGGUGAAAAUUGAUCUUAGUGAUAAUCUCUUGUCCGGUCCAAUACCUUCCGGAAUUGGAAACCUGAAGAAGCUAAAUCUACUCAUGUUGCAAAGCAACAAGCUCAAUUCUUCCAUUCCAAACUCAUUGUCUUCGUUAAAAUCUCUUAAUGUCCUUGAUCUCUCCAACAACCUCCUGACUGGAUAUAUCCCAGAGAGCCUCUGUGAAUUGUUACCCAACUCCAUCAACUUUUCAAACAAUCGGCUUUCUGGUCCAAUUCCUCUGUCAUUGAUUAAAGAGGGGUUAGUAGAAAGCUUCUCAGGCAACCCAGGUCUAUGUGUUUCAGUGUCUGUUAAUUCGUCAGAUAAAAACUUCCCUUUGUGCCCUCAUACAAAAACCCGAAGAAGGCUAAGUUCUAUAUGGGCAGUAGUAACUUCAGCAGUUAUCAUUUUCAUAGGCCUUCUCCUCUUCUUAAAACGCCGAUUCAGUAAACAGAGAGCGAUCACGGAACCCGAUGAGACCUUGUCUUCAUCAUUCUUUCCUUAUGAUGUUAAGAGCUUCCAUAGGAUCAGCUUUGAUCAAAGAGAGAUCCUUGAGGCCAUGACUGAAAAGAACAAAGUGGGACAAGGUGGGUCUGGGACAGUGUAUAAAAUCGACUUGAACAGUGGAGAGGUGGUUGCAGUGAAGAAGUUGUGGAGCCAAAGAACAAAAGUCUCUGCAUCAGAUACGGAUCAGUUGCAAUUGGACAAGGGGCUGAAAACUGAAGUUGAGACUCUGGGAAAUAUCAGGCACAAAAACAUAGUCAAAUUAUACUGCUACUUCUCCAGUUUGUAUUGCAAUCUCUUGGUUUAUGAGUACAUGCCAAAUGGAAAUCUCUGGGAUGCCCUCCAUAAAGGAUUGGUUCAUCUGGAUUGGCCAACUCGCCACAAGAUUGCAUUUGGAGUUGCUCAGGGUUUGGCUUACCUCCAUCAUGGUCUUUUGUCACCUAUCAUUCACAGAGAUAUCAAGUCAACCAACAUCCUCCUUGAUGUCAAUUACCAGCCCAAGGUUGCAGACUUUGGCAUUGCCAAAGUUUUGCAAGCUAGAGGAGGCAAAGAUUCCACUACUACAGUUAUUGCAGGCACCUAUGGUUACUUGGCUCCUGGUAAAUAUUUUCUCAUCCAACUCUCUCUAUUAUUUCCUUAACAUUAAAGUUGCUAUAAUUGAAAAUUUUUCAAUAUUAAGUCAAAAAACAAACACAUUUAAAACAGCUGAAUGAUUGAACCUGAAUCAGUUUCAGUACUCAGUAAAAGGAAAAAAAAAAAAAGUCCCGUAGUAUUUUAUAUCCUAUGUUUGGGUUAAUUUAUCAUCCGAAUUCUUGUAACAGAAUACGCUUAUUCGUCAAAAGCAACAACCAAGUGUGAUGUCUACAGUUUUGGAGUAGUGUUAAUGGAGCUAAUAACUGGGAGGAAACCAGUAGAGGAUGAUUUUGGAGACAAUAAGAAUAUCAUCUACUGGGUUUCAACAAAAGUGGACACCAAGGAAGGAAUUAUGGAGGUCUUGGACAAAAAAUUAUCAGGAUCAUUCCGGGAUGAGAUGAUUGAGGUUCUACGGAUUGCAAUCCGCUGUACAAGCAAGUCACCUGCCACACGCCCAACCAUGAAUGAGGUUGUUCAGCUGCUGGCUGAGGCUGACCCUUGUAGAUUCGAAUCUUGCAAGUUUCCAAAUAAGUCCAAUAAAGAAUCAUCCAAUGCCACCAAGAUUAAGAAUCCCUCAGAAUUAUGAAAAAGCAUGAGGAGCAAGCAUGAUUGGGUUUUAGGGAAAGCGGUACAUGAUCUACAGUAUACAACGACUGUAUUAUAUUAAGAGACUUGUCACGAAGAAAGAUUGUUGUUGCUUUUAGCUAUUUACUACUAAUUAGCUUUGUAUAUAUUUACCAACCGGAUUUUGAUUCAAUGCUGAGUUGAAUAUUGUGAUGAACUGUUUAUAUUAUGGUUAGAAGUUAUUAGGUAAUAAAUAAUAUGUAAUUAAAUCUUAAUUAUAUACUACUAUAAUUGCAGGUGUGUCCGAAGACUAUCAAAAAGUUAUGACAUCUCAGCUUAGGUAGCUCAGUACUAGAUCCGAAUUCUUAUCUCUAAUCCUUUUUCCUUUUCCCUUUUUCUUUUCAUGUAAGCACUUGAAAAAUGUAAUCAGUGCAACUGCUUUGGUAUAACGCACAGCAUAUAUCUAUAUAUUUAUAAAAGAUAUCCACAAAUGAAAUAAUUCUCUAGCUUUUGAGAGCUUUGUUUUUUCCUCUUUAUCUUUAUUUGCUCUUUAUUUCAUGAGAUUGAUACAAAGCAAAGAGACUCCACACGCAGGCUUCUCUUUUUGCAUUCAAGUUGGGGCUCCUGAUUCUCAUUUUAAUAAUUAAGUCAUGAUUCGUAAUCCCACUGGAAAAAAGUCAAAAGAUGAAAUGGCCCAAUUGAUUGAUAGAGAGCAUCUUGUCUCGACAUAAGCUAGGGACGGGUGAAAGCAGAAGCCAUUUUUAUUUUUAUUAUUUUUCCUGUUUCAUCAUUUUUUCCUAUGAGAAUUUUGAUAAUUCUAUAGAUAGUGAGCGAUCAACGAACCUCCACCCUUCAAGUUGCAAUUCCCUUUAUAUGGUAAAAGGUAUUCUGAGAGAGACAUGGAUUCUUCCAUUACUUCUUAAAGAUGAAUAUCAUCUCAAAUAUUCUAUAAAAAGUUUUAGUUACAGUUCUAUUCAGCUAAUUGAUAAAUUUUCAUCUAGAUUCAGCCAUUUGCCAUAAGAUUGGAUGAUAAAAUUAAUCAAUGCCAUUGUUGCUUAAAACUAAGAUGUGAUGGGCCAAAGUUAGAAGUUCGAAAAUGAGUCAAGAAACUGAAGAAAUAAUCAAAAGAGUUUGUACAUAUAAAUAGAUUUGAGUUUGAGACAUUGGUUCUGAGACCAUGUUAUAAAAGUUACCUAACUAAAAACUUAAGUUGAUAAAUGAGAAUCUAAUAAUAAUAUUUAAGACAAGUCUUAAUAAUAGUAGUUACUUUGAUCAUACAUGUCGACUGUGUACAACAUCAAAUGCAACUAUAUAUUAACAUUCUAGACAUUAAUUAAUUCUUCAACUCCAUUGAAUCACAAUCAUUCAGACUGAAGAAUAACAAAAUUGCACGUGUUAGCAGCAUGAUGCUAAUGCACUGGCACGUGCAAGUGUGGCAACUUGUGGGUGGUUGGCGGGGACCUCUUAGAAGAAUAAGGUCCAAUUUAAUUCAAGGAGAAAAAUGCUUUCUUUUCGGAUGGUGGAGACUCCAUAAACAAAAAGGGAGAAGCACUGAUGAAUGAAUGGAAUAGUUCUUUGGGGGGGAAGAAAACAAAAAUAUAAAUAUAAAAAUCAACAACAAAUGUACUCAGUAUUGUAUGCUAGUACUACACUAUUGACUAUUCCCAAUGGCUAUAUAAAAUUCGAAAAACAACAUUGGCACAAUUAGCAAAAGCAUGUAAUGAUGACUUUCACUCAGUUACAUGUACAGAACAAGCUAACAAAAAGUUAUCAUGCAAUACUUAUCAAAAUAUAUACCUUUUGGUUUGUCAAAUGGGUGCCCCUCCACUUCCUGAACUGAUAAAGCGCAAGUUAGUAAACUGUGAAUAAUGGGAUGAACAGUGAACUGAAAGUGGUGAAGGCGAACCAAUCCAGGAAAUUCACAGUGAUGAUAAUAAUUACCGACUGAAAAUAAUAUCUAUAAAUGUCCAUUCUUCAGGAAAUUCACAAGUCAUAUGUCCGCCAUUUGGUGAUUUUCGAGCCAAAAUUAUUAUGUUUCAUAAGGCAUAUGUCCACCAUUCAGAGAUUUUGGAGCCAAAAUUAUCAAUUUCUCAUCAUCAAUUGUGCCGUAUCCCAGAAUUUGCGUCGACAGUUUUGGGAUUCAAAUCCAAAUAUCCCUUCAUUGACGAGAUAAUACAAAACGAUUAAUAAUACUUUAUUAGUUUUCUUAUGCCACAUCAUAGAAUAAUUACAAAAUAAUUGUCUCGCGAAAAUUACUUAUCUAACUAAUAAUAGAAUUUUCAAAUCUAAGUCAAUGUAUUAUUGUCGCUUAAUCAUAGAAGUUGACCAAAUUAAUUGAUCGAUAUUACCAUCUAACUUAAGGUGCCGAAAUAUAAAUCCAUAAGCUUAUGUUUCUAAUUUUUUUUCUUAAAAAGUAAGAGAAUGGACAAAACCGAAAGUAAAUAUUUUAGCAUUUUACCUUUUUCAUAAUUCAAAUUAUUCUUAUGGUCAACUAAAGUAAUCUAUUUAAAAACCACUCAUUUAGCCAAGCCUUGAAGGCUAUGUUUGUAAACUAGAUGGCUACAAAUGAAAUAAAUUAGGGUCCCUAUAUAAUGCUGAAAUUUAUUUACAGUAUCAAUAAUGUUUCAAAUGUGUACCAUUAGAUUUAAUCAAUGGUAUACGAUAUUUGUAUUUAAAAAAUUUAAGUAAUUUAAAAAUAAUUGUAACCGGUUUGUUAAGGAUUAAAGAGAUGGAGAAUUUUUGUAAAAUAAUUGUUACCACCGUUAGAGUUUAAAAUAAUUUCACUUGAAUAGCAUAUUUUAUUUAAAAUUCACUUUUCAUUCCUCCUUUAAAUAUGUAAUGUUAUAAUUUUUUUAACAUAAAUAUUUCAAAAGCUAUUACUAUUAAUUAUAAGAUAUGAUAUCUAUUAGAUUAUCUGACCAAAUCAAAUAAAUAAAUUGUAGUUAUAAAAUUUAUAUAUCGUGUAGUACCAAUAAAUAACAUAACUAAGUACAUAUAUUUAAGUGAAUGUCAUAAAUCACAUCUACAAACUCAUGGAUGAGAUUGUUUGUAAUCUAAAAAGUACUUGAUCAUUGUAAAUUUAAUGUCGCAUAUUAAAAUACUCGUUAGUUAGUAUACUUUUAAGCACCAUUCUAUAGUUGAUCAUAAGGUAUAUAUUAUUUUUAAUAACCAUUUAGCAUACCUAUUCCAUGAAAUUAUGGUUUAUAUUACAACUAAUAUUUUAUAUGGUAGAAAAUUAUCCAAGCCUUAUAAAAUUUAAGUUUCACAAUCAUAUAUAUUUUUAUUUUAUUUUCAAAUAUCACUUUGUUAAUUUCAUAAAAGUUAAAUCUAACAUAUACUUGCAAUUUGUUUUAGUUUAUGAAGCAUGACAUAUUAUUUUAUUGAUAUCUUUUGCUUGUAAUUGUAAAAUUUUAUUUUACUAAGAGUCAUUACUAUUAUUAUGAUAAUUAAUGUGGCAAUAAAUAAAAUAUUACCUCCAAUAAUAUUUACGUGGAAAGAAUAAGAAAAAAAUUAUUUUUAUAUUUUUAUAUUUUCAUUAUAAAAACAUGAUUUGGGAAACUUUAGCUUAAAAUUUUCAUACAAAAAUUUGAGCCAUCAAUCUCUCACAAUCUAACGAUUGAUAAUGAAAGUUAAAACAACUUUUUAUGAUAUUAUAUCAUCCAUCAUUGAAUUGUAUGAAAUUAAUAAUUUACGUUUUAUGUAAAAAUUUAAAUUAAAAUAACCUAACUCUAAAAGUAUGUAUCCAAGCCAUCAAGUAGUUAUAUACAUAUAUAUAUUUCAAUUAUAGUUGUUGAAUAAAAUAUUUCUUAUUUGUUGAAACGCAUAUAGUAUCAUUAAUGAAACAUAGAUUAAAUAAUUUAUUACUAUGCCUUUUACGAUCAUGAUUGUUUAACUAUUAAUGGUUUUAUAAUUAAAUUCAUACAAUACAAAUUAUUAUAAGGCCUUAUGAAAUAACUUUAUACAAAGUAUUAUUGAAAUAAUAUUACAUGUUAAUUACAUUUAUUUUAAUGUGUGUGUGCGCGCAUGCGUGUCUUUAAUAAUAAAUGUAGAAUUAAAAAAAUGUGAAAUUGUAAAGUUAUAGAUAGUAAACAAUAAUUUUAAAAAAUUAUUUUUAUUUUUUCCAUUUUUUUAGUGACUUAAAAAAUAUUAUAAAUUGAUUAGAUAAAAAAUAAUUUAAAGUAUGAAGAAAUACCACAAUUUGAAAAUUACUAGUUACAUGAUUACUUAUCCAUUAGAAUUAAGUUAAGGGUAAAGAUUCUAAUACUUAGUCCAACGAUCCCAUUAUUCAUUAUACGAUUUUUAUCCCAACAUAACAGAAAUUUUCUUUUAUCAAUUAACUAAAAUAAUAUAUAUAUAUAUAUAUAUAUAUAUUUACUUGCAACCUAAAGGUUAUCUGUUAUUCUUUAAUUAAUUAAUUUUUAUCCGUUAUGCUAAAUGAAUGAUAGAGAUUAAACACUUAAAUCAAAGAGCUAUAACAAUCCCAUUAUUAAUCUAUUUGAGUUCACCAAAAUAUUUACAAAACCCAUAAUUUAAUAAAAAUUCAUAUCACUAAAAUUUUUACAAUGUAAAUUACUAUUAUAAGCAAAUAAUUAUUAUCAAAGAAAUUUUUUUACUUUCCACACCUUAUUUGAGCCUAUCUCUAAAACUUUUUACAAUGAAUAUUCAUAUUUUGUAAAGUAGAAGUGACGUGGGAUGAAAGCGGUACCAUAUUUCAUUCUAGCAUACGUUCUUAAAAACUCAAGAAGGAGGGCUCUCACAAAGGAGAAAAUAUCUCAAUUGGAAAAAUACUGAAUAUUAUUGAACGAAACUUGUGUCAAGAAACAAGCAUACAAGCCUAUUUAUACCAAUUAAGAUUAUCUUAUUCCUAAUAAAAUUAUGAUUCCUUUUAAGAAAAAGAAUAUGACUUAAAUAAGAAAAUAUAAAAUAAAUCUUAAUCAAACUAGAAAAGUGAAUUUUAAACUUAUACUCUUACUAUGACUAGGUUUGUCCUACAUCAGUCUCCUCCCUUUAGAAGAACUCAUCCUCGAGUUGAUUCAAUCAUAUAUCAACGGUGAAGGUCCAUGAUACUCGAACAAGUCUUGAAUAUUGAAGGUUUUGGAAAUAUUAUAGGUUGCUAGUAGAUCCACGACAUAAGCAUUGUCAUCGAUUUUUUUGAAGGAUACAAAAUGGUCCAAUCUUCUUUUUCUUGAGCUUGUUGUAUUCUUCAAUAGGAAAUUUGUCCUUGUAUAGAUGAACCAUCACUUGAUCUUCUACAACAAAGUAUUUGAAGCGCCUAUGCUUAUUUGCCUCUGCCUUGUACUUAGUAGUAGAGUUUCUAACUUCUUCUUAAUUUCCUCAUGAACAUUGAUUAUUUUGUCUACCAUACGAUCAGCAAUGAUAUUCAUUCUAGGUAGUUUAGACAAAGGAACCAAGUUUAAGGCAUAUAAAAGAGGUCUAAUGUAGACAAUCUCAAAAGGUGACUUCCCACUUGAUCGAUUGGGCAUAUUAUUAUAAGUGAACUUUGCUUAAAGUAAAAUAUAAUCCCAUUGGCAGGGAUUUUCUUAAACCAAGCUUCACAUAAUAUUGACUAUAAGAUAGUUUCAUCAUCAAUACAAUCAAAAUAUCUUUUUCAAUGUAUACAGUAAGUUAUCACUUAAUUUGUUCUUAAAAUAUUUUAAUAAUAGUAAAAUUUUCUUAUAAUGCAACACAAAAAGCAAACAUAAAGAAAUGUUAAAAUUAAGAUUUUGAAACUAGAUAAAAGAUCAAUGGGAAUAAUUGAAAAUUAAAAUUAGCUAGACUUUUAACUUAGGAAUCAAUAUUCAAAAACUAAAUAAUUGAAGGAAAGAGUUUUUAAUUUGUGGAAACUGGGAUGAAAUCUACACACUAACGCAUAUGCGCUACUCUGAUGGGUUACUGCACUACUACCAUGACAAACAAAUAAAAAAAAUAUUUUUUUAAUAUACACAUACAAAAUUGAUUCAGACAAAUAGUUUACAUACCAAAUCAAAUUUAGACAUACAAAUUUUGGACAAUAACAACAACAACAUUCAAAUAUAGCCCUAAUCAAUGUAGUUAUUUAACAUAUAUAACCUUUUUGUUCUAUUGUUUACAUAUAUUUAUUUCUUUUUUAACUAUUCUUUUAAAAAUAUUAACUUCAAAUAAUCUUAUAUUAACUUAAGUAAUUCAAAAUCAUACAUUACAAAAUAUCAAACAAAUUUUAUUUUAUUUUAUUAAACAAUUUUGUUUGGGGGAUAUAUAACGACGAGACCAGCAGUAUUAAACGAGGACCUGUCCUGCUCACAUAUGGGGAGCUUAUGUCGCCCAGGCGCAUAAGCCUUUUGCCCGUUGCCGAGGAGAUCCUUUGUUGGAAAUCAUGGCAUGAGCAGGAAUCCUUUACUCAGUACCAAAGAUACUUCCUGCUGGACCCGACCUUGGCAGACCCAACCUUAGGUAGUUAUCAGAACGACCGCCACUCUCCAAAAAUCCAAGCACGAGGCCCACUUAGCCACGAUCGCCACUCUCCGAAAACCCAGGCACAAGGCCCACUCAACCGCAACCACAACGUUCAAGCAUACGUGACCGGGAAUCAUGCUAAGAUGAAAAACGUGAACGAGAGAAGCCGAAUUCUUUGGAAGGCUAUAAAGGGGGCGAUCAAAGAAGGUAAAAGGAUUGGACAAAAACACUAAAAAAUAGACUUAAAGAGAUCCCAGAGGGUAUUCUAGUGGGAACCUCAAGAAAAUUCUUAGGGAUUUCAUUGCUCUAGAAAUCACUACAAAGCCAAGAAAUUAUUGGCAGAGUUUUUUCAAAAAUAAGCCCCGAUUUUUGACUUGAGCGUCGGAGGGUUUACGUCGGGAAAACCCCGGCGUGCUCUGAUCAGUUUUUGUGUGCGCAGGAGUCUGCUGGGGAGAAGCAGCAAGCGUUAUAGUUCUGCUUGACUAGAAGGGACAGCGUGAAGUUACAUAGAGUCAACUGCAAACUUGAGUGUUGAGGAGAGGUUUUGGUCAUGAACGAGCAGACACCAAAUCUCGCAUCAACAAAUUUAAUUGUAAAGCUUAUAACAUAUGUAAGAGUUAUAGUCAAGCAAUAUAAUUAAUUAAGAAUUAUUAUUAUGGGAAAAUGAUUAAAUGACACCUAUACCCAGAGGUUUAUUCAAAUGACACAUAGAUUCCUUUGGUUUGAGGAAUAGAUAUUCAUACAUACAUACAUACAUAUAUAUAUAUAUAUAUAUAUAUUUUGAGUAAUGAACAUUGAACAAUUUAACUAACCCAAAGAUUAAUAAUAAAAUUUGUCUAAUAAAUUUAUAGUCUUAAAAUAAUUUUUUAAAUAUUCAAAUAAUUUUUAAAAGAUUUAUUAGUAAAUAUGGAUAAGGAAAAUUAUUAAUCGUCUACCAAAGUUUAUCCUGUUAUAAAAAUACUAUAAAAUUUUAAGUUUUGUUCAAUUUUAUACCUAAUAUAUGUAAUUUGUAUCAACCAUCAACUAAAAAGACAUAAAUAUUCUUAUGAAAAGAUGAAAUAAAAGAAAACAAGAAUAAUAGUAGUAUUUAUUUUGUAGGGUAAUUUUAUCUUUUUAGUGGACAAUUGACAAAUUAUAAAUAAUGGAUAAAAAUUGAAAAAAAAAUUUUGUAAUAUUUUUUAUAAUAUAAUAAUUUUUGAAUGGAUGGCUGGUAAUUUCCCUUUGGAUAAUUUUCAAAGACACCAAAAAAAAAAAAACAGUUUCUUUGUUUAUGCUUGAAACUUCAGAGGUGCUUAUGUAAAUUUGAGUAAAACAGAAGGGUCUUAUUAUUAUUAUUGUUAUUAUUGAAAUUCUCCCCAAAAGGACAAGUUAUAUCAAUCCAGAAAACGACAUCGUUUCUGAACAUGCUCUUUAAGCGACAAGUCCUCUGCAUAAGUAGAACUGUUGCCAAGUUCAACGCCUCAUGUUUUCGUCAUCAAAAUCGAAGCAUUUGCACUCGCAGGUUCUCUCUCUCUCUCUCUCUAUCAUGAUGUUCAUUUUUUCCCUUAAAAAGAAUUUGAAGCUGAGCUUCUUUUAUUUUUUUCAAUUUUUUAAAUUUUUUUUUGUCGUGAGUUGAUUCAAAAUAUGUUAAGCAUGAAAAAUGUUACUUGAGAAUGUAAAGUUGGCAAAUUCGUUAUUCAUGUUUCUGGGUAUUGCCUCAAGUGUCACAAAUUUUUUUCUUUUUUUUAAUUUAAGGAAAAUCAAAUGAUGAUUGAGAUUGUGACUUGUAGAUUUUAAAUCACCAAGGCAUUGUUUGGUUUAAGUUUUUCGAACUUAACUUCCAAAACCAAAUAAUUAAUUAGUACUUGGAGAAUGCUGAUCAAACAAUGUGUUAAAAGAAGUGUUUAUAUUUAUGCUUUAUGUUUGGCCAGUGUAAAAUUAGCAAUAUUUGUGUCAAAAUAUGAUGUGGGUCGUUUUAGUUUUAUUGAACUUUGAAUUUAUCGGUUGUGAGCAAAUGGUGAAGUUUAUUGAUUGUGCAAUUAUCCCAUUUGCUGUUAUUUUCUAUGUUCAUAGGAUAAUAUGAAAAUGUAUAAGUAAUUGUAAAAUUUACUGCCGCAACUUGUAGAUUUACUCCUUUGAAUUAUGUACUUGAAAUCUGUAACAAGAUAGAUUGUUCGAAGUUGUUGAGUCUUUGUGGCGAGUCCUAUGACAUAUCAUAUAGAUUACACAUUUAUGCAUAGUGGUUAGGUACUCAAGUGGAAAACUUAUUUGGAGUUCUUUUAUUUAUGGCGAGUUUUUAUAUUAUUUGACUUAGUGUCUUCCCCUAGGUGACUAGGUAUUAGCUUGUUUAAUUUAUACUUACCUAUGUUCCCAUCAGUGUGGGGACCCCCUGCCUUGAUAAGCAUUCUAACCAGUGUUGGAGUUUCCAUUGUCAUACUGUAACAUUUAGUAGCAAUGAACUUGUUGGAUGCUACUCUGUUUUGAAACAUGAAGUCGAUGGUUAUAAAGAGGACCACUUGGAUUGAGGCCCUUUUGCUAUAAUUAAUGUUGAUAUGCAUGCUCUAAGUGAUAUAAAGCCCUCUUUUAAUCAUUGUGCACGUUGUGGCAUGAUGACCUAGGAAUUGCCAACACAACGUGAUUCAUGCUAUGUAUCUCAAAGUUUUUGGUGAGAUAUGAGACUACUUUUAACUAAUUUAUUGAUCCUAAUGAGCAGACUUCUGUUUUGGUUGCUUAUUGAAGUGCCUGAACUGGUUGUUAUGAUCAUUAUUUAUUUAUUGUAAAUUACCUUUCCAUUUUAUUAACGUAUUCGUAAAUGCCCUUUGACAGAUAUUAUGGCAGGUGAUAUCUUGUCUGGUAAAAGAGAGAGAAAAUGGUCGUCUUACACUAGCGCUCAUGAUGCAUUGAGCUGUGACGACAUCCUAUGUGAUAUCCUUCAGCGAUUGCCACCAGAAUAUGUUGUCAAAUUGAUUGUUGUAUCAAAGAGGUGGCUUAGCUGUAUCUGCAGCUAUGCUUUUAGGCGCGGUUACCUGAAAAGAUGGAAAGUACGCUCUCACCUCCUUGGCUUCUUCGUCUGUAAUUCCUUAUAUCUUGGAAGACCUCAGGGUGGCCUACGCCGUACCCCAUCAGAGCCUGCACUCCCAUUAUUGUCAACUUCUAAAGAAGGUGAUGAUCUAAAGUAUUCUGGGAUCCUUAAACAGCUUGGUUACUUUAUUGACUCCUCCAAUGGCCUUCUUCUUUGUGGCCGCCAUCCAAAGUCUUACUAUGUGUGGGAUCCAAUUACUAAACAACAGCACAAACUCCCUCAUCCUCGUGUGUACUUUGAAGAGCUAUGCAUGGCAUUCAUUGUUGAGGACUCUCCUGAUGACUCUAUGUGCUACAAAGUCAUUCGCGCAAAAAGUGAAUGUAAACAUGAUAAAGCCAACUCUGUCACCAUUGAGACUUUCCUUUCAAAGACUAGGACAUGGUAUUAUUCAACGCUCACUUGCAAUUCCACUCUGUCGUUGUGUCCUUGGAAAGUAGCCACUGUGAUUAGGGGUGUCAUUCACUGGUUUGCAAUGAGAGGAAAUAUAGCCAUUUAUGACCAGGAACAUGAAGAUAGGCAUGUCUCUUUGAUUGAACUACCAGAUUCAUGUGAUUUUGAUGAGCGUGUUCUUGGUGAAUCUUCUGAUGGGCUUUUGCAGUACGGUCAAAGUUGUAAGUCGGGAAUGGAGAUAUGGGUUCUGAAGAAAGAACAAGAUGGCCACUUAUCUACAUGCUCCAACAACACCAAAUGGAUCCUGCGAUAUAAAUGGAAUUUCAAAACAAUGUGGAAGAGAAAUCCCAGAGUUAUGACAGCAUUCUGUACAUGUUCUAAAUCCAAAGAAACUCAAAUAUUGUCACUUCUUCCGCAGAAUUCAGAAUCUGUCUACAUCAGAGCUGGGGAUAACAUAUUUCUUUGUCAUCUUAAGAAUGGAGAGGUGGAAGUGGUUCAGUAUGACGGUUGUGGGUCCUCCAUUUUGUGGGAUUUCAGCAGAGUAGUUCCAUACUUCAAGCCAGCUUGGCCACAUUCUUCUAUAUGUCAGAAUGGAUAGAGUAUGACAUGAUUAUUGUUGUCGUGGCUACUCUUAUUUAGAAUUGUAUGUAAAUAAAGCUAUGGUACUCGUAAAUUAGAGGGUUGAGCUUAUUCUGCUGUUAAGUUUUCAAGCUUAUUAAUGGUGGAUGCUGAUGUAUAUACUCUUAACCUUUCACUGAAGGUAGAUGCUGGAUGGUCUCAGCAUCUUUCUUGUGUGUUUGUGUCCUAAACUUUGAAACAGCAUAGGUGGAAAUUUUGUGCUCGUCUCUGCUAUGUCAAUAGUCACCGUUGCUUCUCGGAUUUUGAGUUAAUUUUACUGUUUAAUAUCGUACAGAUGUCCCAUUAGUGGAUGCUGAUUAUCCUUGGUUUCUGAAUUUUUUUUUUCAAAUAGUUUAAAUGAAUGAAUGUAAAUUUGUAAAUUUCACUAGUGCUUUCACAAAAUAUAUAUCAUUGGUUAUUAAAGAUCGACUUGCAUUAUGAUACCUGUUAUUAAAGAUCGACUUGCAUUAUGAUACCUGCACUUAGAUAGUACUGGGAAGCUACGAGCAACAGGGGAAAGGAAACACUGCACUCUUCAAGGCAGAAAUCAGAAUGCUACUAGCUUUGAACUUUUUCUUUUUUUCUUUUUUUUUUUCUCUCGAGAAAAAAGGUAUCAUCUACUUGUACAACAAAGAGAAAAUAUUUAACAUCAUGUCGGAUGGGAUCAAAGGUAUCCCUGUUUGAAAGAAUGAACUAUAUAUCUAAUGUAAAAAGCCAAAAGAAAAAUGCGAUGAACAACCCCAGAAAGACAUCCACAAAUUAAGAGGUUGCAUUUUGAAUCUACAUCCUUGGCAGUAAAACAGAGAUACCGGUAAUUAUAGAAUACUCCUGCCAUGUCUGCAAUGAUGGUGAUGAUUAAUCAGAGCGCGGCAACAAGAAACUAAAGCCUGAGUUUUCACGAAUAAGAGGUGGGGGUUCAAUGUCGGAGAUGUCAAUUUGUUGCAUUGAUUUUGAUAAGUCAUCCACCGAAAAUGGAAUGCUGCAAGAGACAUAACAAAGUUGUGAGAGUUCAGUGACACCCUCAAGCGUGCUGUUAAAAGCCUAUGAAUCAUGCUUUUGGAUUCCAACCAUGUAAGAAUGAAUAAUGAAGAAAAACCAUGAAGAACAACAAAAAACGAAUGUCUGAUAAGAUAAUGACACAGUUGAAUGUUGUUUGCUAACCUUGAAUCAUCAUCCAACAGGAAGGAGUUACUAACUGCAUUGUUCGAAUCUUCUGUCAUCAACACCCGCAUGUUGGAUAUGACCUAUAUAUAACAUUCACAAGGCAGGGGUCAACUUUAUUCUACUCCCAUGUGAUGGUGAUGACUUUAGCCUAGAUUGACUAUUGGUACCCAUAAAAACUUACAUCUGAAGACACACUAUGCGUCCCAUACUUGUCAUCCCAGUACAUUGUACUGAUUCUAUACAGCUGCUGGAUGCUAAGAACCUAAAAAUGAACAAAUAAAUUUGUUUGAGAUAUCGAGAAGGAGAUGUAGAAGUCCUUGAUAUAACUUGCUAUUAUUAUUAUGGUACACUCACCGGGCAGAGAUCAUGGCUUAUUUCAUCCAAUGUCUUUUUUGGUUUUUGAUGUAUGACCUGAAAUAUGAUAACACACCAUUUAAGACAACUUCAAAAUUUCUUUUUUCUUCACUAUCAAAUCAAGCGAUAUAACAAGUGGACAAGUAAAUAUAGAACAGAAACAUACGAGAAAACCAAUGGCCUGUCUUAUAUGCUUGAGCUCAUCCCAGGCUGAACCUGCAUACUGCACUCAUUUUGCUUUUGGUUAAUAUAAUAUACAAUGAAAAGAUGAAGUGACAGCUUGUAUAAGGUACCUCAUCUGUUGCUUUGUAACACCAAUGCUCCAAUUCAGCCAAUCCAGCUUUAACAUAUUCACCAUUACUAAAUGAACAGCACUCUCGCCUUAACAAAAGGCUGCAACCCAAAAAAUGUGUGGAGGAUGAUAAGAAAAAGCUUUUAAACAAUUGAAAGCAAUGUGGUCAUAGACUCAAACCUGUUGAAAAGUUGAACGUUAAUGAAGGAAAAUAUUUGUGUGAAGACCUUUCGAACCAAAAAUGGGGGUACCUGAAACAGGAUGCCAAAAGUUCAGACCAGAUUUGCCGAAAUUACCCUUUCCAGAUGAAAUUCCACUGGAUCAAUUGAAGAUUCUACUAUUCAAUAAGAUAACAUUGAGUAAAAUGAGAAAGCUAUAUACAAGGAAUGUAAUGAAAAAUAUGUUUAACUGACAUGAUUGGCCUUCAAAGUGUUUAAGAAGUUUCCAAGGCUCUUCACAAUCCCUUGCCAGUGAGCAAUUAAAGCUUGCUGGGCAGCACUGUUAGCUACUGAACGCGACGAUCCCUUGACUAAGCUUGCUCUGGAUGUUCGUGGUGCCUAUUUCAUUAUAUUAGGAAAAAAAAAAGUUUCAAUGCUUGGGAAGUUCUGAAAGGAAGGAAUCUUAAACGCAGUUAAUGAACAAAUAGUACCUGGAUGCACAGACCAAGCAAUGGAGAUAUUUCCUUCUUUAGAUUAUCUCGAAUCAUUCCAUAAAUCUUUUCCACAUAAGCUGUAAGCUGCUGUUUGAAAAGCAAAGCUGGGUACUUGGCUUCAACUUGCCGUAAGGUAUCCACUCCACCAUUCACACCACCGUUGAUUAAGGAAAGAUUAACUCCUUGUGGAGUCCCACGGAAACUCUGAAAAUAUAGAAAUCAUUGAGCAGGCGAAAAUAAAAUUGUCUGAAUGACUAAUAGAUGCUAGUGGAGAAUUGUACUUGUGUCAUUCUCCCAAAAAGUGUGGCUGAUGAUGAUCGACGGCGCUGUGGAGCCAUUCCAGCUGCUCCACUAGCUUUCAGUGUACGCUGGAGUAGCAAGAGGAGUGUUGAUGCAUUGGAUAACCAAUAGGCCAAGAUAUCGUUGUUAUCCUGUGUCUGAAGUCCAAUUGAUAAUAGUCAAGCUCAAGAGAGAUUAUAAGGUUAAUAAAAGUUAAAAUGAUAAGAUAUUAGCACAAAAUGUUGGGAAUUUUAAAACCUCAAUAGCAUUGCCAAUGGUCUGAAUAAUCCGAUCAAAGACGCUAGUUCGCUCAACUUCAAAAGAUCUCCACUGCAAGAGGCAUUUGUAUAUGAUACAGGCAGCUAUAGGCCGGUUCCCUGCAAAGCCUAAGUGUUGUGCAAUGCAACGAAUGAGCAACUCCUGGUUCUCUUGUUGCUUCUCGUUUAGUGAUUUUUGUGGUUUCUCCUCUAUUUCCAAAGGAUCUCUAUGAUUUAUUGAAGAGCUGUGCAGAUCCUGUUCCAAUAUAUCAAGAGGUCAAAAAAUGAAAGCAGACUAGGAAGAACACUUCGGCAGGUCUUGGAAAUCUCUGCAUUCCUAGUUCUCAUGGUAAUAUAGACUUACAUGAGCUUUACUUACCAAAGUAGAUUUUGCAUCCCCUGGUAUGUGACCACUGUCAGCACCUCUCUGCAAUUAUCAGACAACAGAAGAGCCCUUAAAACUUCCACGAUAUUUAAGACCAAAAUUGGCAGUUUCAUACUUAAAUCUCUGCAACUACCUGUAUAAUUGAUCUGGAGCGGCCUGAAAGGAACUUAUUGGGUGCUAUGGACACUGCCUGUUGCCGUAGCACUUGAUUCUCUGAUUCUAAAUUGGCAAGUUUCUCUUCUAGCCUAAUCACGGAAGCAUAAGUGGACCACAUCAGAAGACUUUAAAACUGGUGAUAAUUUCUUCCACGAAUAAAUGUAAGAGUUAUACUUUUGCAGUAUGUGUUAAACAUCUCUGAUUUGACAUCAAAGGUUGGUUCAAGAUAAAUCCAUUACCAUGAGAAUAGAAGUACACUACCUCGUCAAGGACUCCUGGAGUUGAAUAACUUUCUUCUCUGUUUCAUCUAAUUUUUUCUGUUUUUCUUCGCUAGUCUCUUGUGCUUCUUUUGAUUUUCUUUCAGUUUCAUCGGCUCUUUUUUUCUCUGAUUCCAAUGCAGUCUGUCGUGUCAUGAAGCCAGGGUCAAGAUUUACUCAUCUAAGAUGCCCAUAAUCAAAUUCCAUCAUAAAUAUUGUUAUGCAAACUCAUAAUUUUCUGAUAGGCUACUAGUAAUAUCACCAAGAAAAGGGUACAACUUGAUAUGCCGAAAGUGUACAUAGGAUCACAUGUUCAAUUCAACAUAAGAAAAUAUGCAGUGGCCAAUGAAUUAAACCACUAACCUUGAGGCCCUCAACUUCUGCUGUUAGUGAUUCGAUCUUUUUGGUAUCUUCUACUAAAACUUCUUUUUCUUUAACCACAGGAGGUGCUUCUUCAAUAGCCUUCUUUGCAGCUUCUCUUUCCUUGACGAGCGAUGCAUUCGCUUCAUCAAGUUUUGCCUGCAUUUCUUGCAAUGAAUUCUGCAACUUUGUUACCUCCUGUGCUUUUGCUUCUUCCAAGUCAGUCUGCAAGCAUAGAAUCAAGCUAUUGCAUGAGGAUAUAUCAAUCACAGAUCAUACAUUGGAACCCCCAGUUCCAUGUUAAACAACCAACACAAACAUAAGUUCCAUGUUAAGCAACCAACACAAAAAUAAUCAAAGGAACCAAAUAAUAUUAAUCAGAGUGCUUAUCACCCUUAAACGUUUCUCCAACUGUAUACGCCAUGUGAGGUCUUCAACAGUUUUCUGAAGCUUAUCCUUUGCUUCUUUUAGUGCACCCGUUUCCCUGGCAGCCUGUAGAAAAAUUGAGAUGGCCAUUAUUACUCGAAGCCAAGAGAACUACUUAAAUUUUAAGCAAAUAUUAAAUAUAAUAUUGCAUGAAGUACUUUUUAGACCAACAACUGAAGCAUAUCCUUUUAUUUCUAGAUUUAAAACAUUUAAAUAAAUCUUUAAUUUCUUGAAGCAUACUGAAUAAAGAGCUCAUUUUUGUUUUCACUACUUUUCAGACAAUUGUAUGCAUGUAAAACUUUUUGGUAUAACCCAAAUUCACUAGAAUAUGCACUACAACUUAUUAAAGAUUUAAAAAAUUGCUAGAACACACAUUUCUAUUGUGGUUAUAAUAUUAUCAAUAAGCACACAAAUAUAACAUGAUAUUUAUCACUUUCAUUCCUUAUUUAACAAUCACUUGUCAGAGAACACAAACACUGUAAAAACAUUUUCAAGCCUUCAUUUCAUUUAACCAGAAACGUCCUGAAAAUUUCAUUUCCAAUUUCUGUUUAAGGCCUUUACUUCUAAAUAUCAGAGUUAAAGUUUAUUCCAUAUUGACAAAUAUAUGUACACUAUUGUUCCCGCUUACUUAAACCACAGAAUUGCAAUUUUUAGAGGCAUCAGACUGCUUGAUCAGAUGCUCAUCCUCUCAGUCCAAACUCCAAUGACAUAAAAAUUGGCAGCACCUCAAAUUGAUUACGUAUCAAAAAAGCCUUGUAUCGAUUAAAAAUUUCUAUGAAUUAUAUAUAUAUAUAUAUAUAUCAUACUUUCAUUUAGCGAUAAAUCUAUAAAUUAUGUAAAAUGACAGCACUCAUGAAGGAUAGCAAAAGGUUAUCAAAUACCAACCAUUUUAAGCUUCCUAAGUUCUCUCCUAGCAAUUCUUCCCCUCCAUCUGGUCUGUGCCUUUAUCGAUCCUCUCUUGAGCCUUUUAUAGUAUGCAGUAGCUUUAUGACAACGCCAUCGGGCCUACAGCGUAUUAUUAUUCUUCUUAUUAUUCCAAGAAAAAUAGACGGUACCGAGAGACCAAAAUAUGCAAAGGGAGAAUAAAAAUUAAAAUCAUCCAAGCAAUACAACAUUGCUAAGGAUAUAACCUGAAUAAUAAUUGCAGCCUUUGUUUGCUUUCUGAAUCUAAAUUCCUUACGAGCAGCCAUUGUCCUUAAACCAGUCUGCAAGACAAGUGUAGAAACAUGGAGUCUUUUAUAAGCCGUUCUGGCAUCAUAUCUCCUUAUAUGCUUCUGGAUUUUCACUGCAGCUGCCUCUUUCUUCAUGCUGUCAAAGACUCUGCAAGCUAGUCUUCCUACAAGUCACAUAGAUACAUGCGAAACUAAAUUAGGAAUGGAAAUUGAUAUACUGUUCAACUGAUGCCCUGAAGGAUUGAGGCAUUGAGCCAAAGAAAAAAAAAAGUAAAUUCAAAAGAUAUGUCCUAUAUGUACUUAUGAAACCUGAUUUCUUUGGUAUAAAAAAUUUUGAUGGCUCACCUCUGCACAGAGAUUGUAAAACUAUGGUAGCCUCCCGCAAGGCAAUAAACCGUCUACGAGCAAUAUGAGUCCGUAUGCGCCGCUGAAUAGUUUUUGCAGCACUACUGAGUACUUCAGCUCUCCGUGCAUCUAAUUCAGCCAUCUGACCAGCUCUUAAGAAAAUCUUCGUUUUACCUAUCUGCAAAAUUAAUUUGAAGGAAAAAAAAAAGAAGAGAAAAAAAUCUAGUAAGUAUCCCUGGCCAAAAUGUGUACUAGGAUCCACGAACUUUGAUUAUUUGAAUGUAAGAGCGGAAUAUAUAUCUAUUGCAAUAUUAUCAGAAAACGAUAUUUAAAAAAAUUGUAAGCAAUUCCACAAGCAGCACAGAGAAUUUCUUGUAUGACCUGAAAUCCCUGAAGCCCUUUCUUUUCCAAAAUCUUUUUGCAUGCAACCUUUUCAUCAUAGCUGUUCAAAAAAUUCAGAAGAGAAACCAUUUAAAAAAAUUAACUGGUUAAGCAUUUCUAGAACAUUUUUUCCACUUGAAAUAUGUGCUAGAAAAAUGAUACUUACUUUCCUUCCAAGAACUCGGGGGCAAGAAGCCCAAACCGGUUGAGGAAUUCAAAGAAAGGACGGCGAGUGGGGUAUCCAGCACAACUGAUUCUGAUAGCCUCUAAAACACCCUAUAGGGACAACAAUCAAUAAUAGCCAAACAAAAAGGAAAUAACAAUGAUUUGGUACCAUCCCUCUCCAUAGGCCAACCCAAAACUGCCAGAAAAAAGCAUAUAAUAUCAAAAAAUGUACUCACACCACAGCGCAAUUGUUGCAUGAUAUUGGCAUUCUCAAAGACUGCAGGUUUUAGUAGGUUGUUUGGUUUCACACAUCUGAUGUAGUGCGGUUCUGUAGAGUUCAAUGUAUCCAUUAAUUGUUGUAAUUGUAGCUGCAUCAUUUACAUGAUGAAACAUGAGUCUUACAUACAGUGCCCCCCCAAAAAAAAAGAAAGAAAGAAUUGCAGUAUUCACAAGAAUAAGGGUAAACUCUUGCUUUCAUCAAAUAUCAUAUUUCCGGAAGAGAAAAACAAUAGGAAAACAGAAGCAAAACUACCUUAAAACGAGAACCAAUAGAAGAGAACUUGGAAGAUUUGGAUGUCUCUUCUGGAAGUGGUGGGAAAAGUCCUGCUACAAAAGGACAAUUGGAAGCACUCAACAAGUCUUGAUGUUCUGGAACCACAUAAUCCUUGUUUUUAUCCAAAAAUUGAUCAGAUUGAUACAUGACCUGAAAACAAAAUUUUAACAGAAGCUCACAACAGUUACCAUUUUGGGUAUGAGACUUUAUAUAUAUUGGUAAGAACUUUGUUAAAUAACAUACCUCUCCAGCAUAAUGGGCAAUGGCAAAAUCUGUGCGAGAAAACUUUGGCUUGACAAAGCGCUUGUGACUUUUAAAUGUCUGGUAAAGCUUAUUUGCAAAUGUUUCAUGUGUUGACUUUGGAAACAUGCUGCAAGAAAAGGUAAGUUUACAAAUGAGAAAAAAUUAUCUGACCAUCAAAGAGGAGUUCAGUUCUAGGUUCCACAUAUCUUACAAACUCAGUAAUCAGGAAAUUUUCCAUUAGGAAAAAAACAAAAAUGAAAAAGGAAGGAUCAAAUGCUUUGAACAUAAAACAUGCUUCCUUUAAUACAAGAAGGUAAUAGAAAAAUAUUUACCAAGCUUCAUCGAGGAGAGCAAUGAUUCCGCCUGGUUUCUGCAAAAGGUAAAGUGAAGAAAUUUCAUAAGACUUGAACCAGAAAACAAAUUCUGAAACACAAUUGCACAGCAGUCACUCAUUUUGUCAUGGGAAGUGCUUAGCUAACUUGGUUCCACAAAAUGCAGAAAUCUGGAUGCAUAAAGUGACUUCAUCUCGACCCACAAAAAAUAUAUAGUAUUAUGUAGUGAAGUUAGAGAAACUUCUCAAAUAAAAGAAAUAGUCUAGCCAUUCCUAUAUCUAGGAAUCUAACUUCAGCCAUAUGGCAUGCCAGAAUAAUUAAACCUUUGGCGAAGUAAGGUUGUUGUCAAAUGAGCUACCAGCCUGCAUGGAACAAGAAUAUGUUGAACAUUUUACAGUUCAACGCAGCCAUCCAUGCCUCUCAUAGCACAUUACACAACACUGAAAUAUAUAAAGUCUACAGAUUUUCAAUGAAACAAUGACACUCUGAAAAGUAUUUUUUGCUAAAACCCUUGUUGCCAGUUCCUUCUUAAAAGUUGAAUCAGAUAGGUAACAAUUUGUUUAUAAACAACCAUCCAGCUAGAUAAAUGAAGUGGUUGGUAGGUUCCUUGAAAAAGUUGGCCUCAAUUUAGGAUCCAAAACCUUCAGUAUAGGUAUAAAUUUGACAUUCAGAAUUCAAUGUGAAUAGAGUGAAAAAGUUGAAUAUAACCUUUUCAAUAAGAUCCAAAACAUCUUGAUUAUCAACAAAUUCAAUGUAGCUCCAAUCAAUCUCUUCUUUUGUAUACUCUUCUUGUUCCAUCUUGAACACGUGCUGAAAGACAUGGCCAGACCCUCAUCAGCUAAAAGUUUUAAAUUGAACUAAGUAAAUAUUAUCAGAGAAAUUACCUGGUUGAAAUGCUGCUGCAAUUUCUCAUUUGUGAAAUUGAUACAGAACUGCUCAAAACUGCACAGCAGGAUAUGAUGAAACAUAUGAGAGGUGUCUUGCUAUAAUAUCAACAAUAAUUCAUUUCAUUUAUCUACUCAUAUGCAUAUAGUGUUUACAUGUUGCUACCUAUUACUCUUAAAGCUUUCAAAACCGUAGAUAUCAAGGACCCCAAUGAGAGACUUUGAAUUAGGAUCUUGUCCAAUCGAGCUGUUAAUUUUAUCCACCAGCCUGUGAAUAACCACAAAUACAGACAUAGCACACCAUGACAGCUCGGUUCUCAAGAUAACUUUAAGAAGUAUCAGUGAACACUGAAGUAUUGAGUAGGGCAGUAGCUUAAAUGUUUUACCAGUCAAACAAUCGAGAAUAAAUUGUCUUAGCUAAACCGUCCCUGCUAACUAGAGCACUUUGAGGAUCAAGGCUUCGUUUAAUAACCUCCUCUGGUGUAAUCAUGAUACGCUUACAUAAUGCAUCUUCCAAGGCCACAGGAUCACACCUGUAAUAAAAUUGAAUUCAAUAAUAUUGUACUAUAAAAGGGAAAACAAGAAAUAAACUAUGGUGGUAUCUGAAGCUCAUACAUGAGAAGUUCUGCAGCUGUUUUAAGAUGGAAUUUGGCCUGGUCAUCUUUUGGGAUUGAUGAGUCAACUUCUUUUCCCUUGGAAAAUUCAAUAUUGCCAAUGUGAAGAAUUGCAGCAACAACUCUGAAAAUUGCUUCCUGAGAGACGGAGAAAUAGUGAGAGGAUGGUCCUUCCUAUUUUUAUGUCCAGAAGUUGUUAUCUGCAUGAUUCUGUAAAACCUAUACCUGAUCCUUCUCACUUAUGCCAACAAUAUCCAUCGCCCUCCUUGUGGCUAGAUAAUCAUGAGCAUCACUUACUCCGACCAAUUCAAAGCAAGUUGAUUGGUUAAGAUAGUGAAACGUUUUAGGAUUUCCCAACUUGUACCUCUCAACUUCCUGUUAACACUAGUGUCGUCAGCCAGCAGUUGUACGAUAUUAUAUUAGUCAAAGUAUCAACAAACAGACACAACAAAUUAGAUCUUUCAUUCCGACAGGAAGAUACCUCCUGUGGAGCAUUACAAAGAAGGUAAAAGCAGUGGUAGUUGCGCUCAGGACUAGAAAUUUGGCAAACACGAGAUCUCUCUAGAAGGUAUGUUCUGAUGGCAGCUCCUGAAAUUCUUCCUUGCUUAUCAAACUGAAUCUCAACAAAUUUACCAAAGCGACUGCACAAGUAUUGAAUAUAGGAUAAAAAUCAAAGUCAAACUUCCAACAAUCAAUGAGAAAAGAAUCAGGGGUCGACUUGUUUACAGAUAAUUCUACAUCAUUCAAGAAAUAUAUGAAGAUAUGCAGCUUGGAUGGACACAUUAUUUUAUGAGUACAUGAAACGUCAUCACUGCAGAACAUAUGAGGUUAGACCAAUUGGACGAAAUGGGCAAGAGCAUGAAUAUUCUGGUUUCCAUGUAAAAGCUAUCUCACCUUGAGUUGUUAUUUCUAACUGUUUUAGCAUUUCCAAACGCUUCGAGAACUGGAUUUGACUGCAUUCAAAUGGUACAAAAGUCUUACAACAUUUCACAUAAGAUAUCAUAGAACAUAUUUGAUAGAUAAUGAGACAGAAAAGGAAAACUUCAUUGAAGAAUAAAAGUACACGAUCAAUCAUACUUCAAGAACUUGUUGUUCAACUGUUCGUCCUUCAGUGGCAGUCCGACCACCUAAAAAGGCAAGGUACCGCAUAAGCAUUUUAGUGGUCUCAGUUUUGCCAGCUCCACUUUCACCACUGACCAGAAUUGAAUUGCUUUUUCCCUCAUUGACCAUUGCCCUGAAGUCAGUUAAAGCACUAUUGUUGAGCAUUUCAUUCAUCAAUAAAGAAAUAAAUAUGAUGCUUGCAAGAUGGAAUAAGGAAACCUGUAGGCAACAUCAGCCACUGCGAAAACAUGAGGACUUAGUUCUCCAAAUGGAGCUCCCUUGUAUUGUUGCAUCAUGUGAGCAUCGUAGAUAUGAGGCAGUCGUUGGAAAGGGUUAAUGGCAAUAAGAAUAUUUCCAGUAUAUGUCUGAAAUGAUAUCAAACAUGAUGUGAGAUACAUAAAAUAGCAGAAAAGUUGAAAUCUUAAUCACUUAUAAACACUUACAUAGAUUUCAUUCAGCUCAUAUCUAGUUUUUAAGUUCCGCAGAACUCCAGGCUCAUGCAAAUAAGAUAGUUUGGUCAUGUCAUCAACACCACCAGCAGGCUCUUCCAUAUCUUUUGGAUAAAUUUUUGAUAAGUUUGCAACAACCUAAAAGCACCAAAUAAGAGUAAAAAUUCAUUGCACCACAGGAAUCAAAGGUCGAAAAAUAAAUGUGAAAAUGGUCUUUGAUUGAAGGGUUUAUGUAUACAAGUUACAUACUGUAUUCUGUCCUCUAAACCAAUAAAAUUAAAAUGCAUAAAAGGAUAAAUCUAAACAGCAAUUUAUUUUUUCCUUUUGAUUUAGCGAUCUAGAGAAAUGCAUGUGAAGGCUCAUUGUUAUUAGCGAAAAUGGUGGACAAAACGUCAAGGAUGCAAGCGAGAUUAAAAUUUAUCUAGAAGAAGUAGAGGGAGACGAAUGCGAAUUUUUAAAGCAAGUUGUGUCUUAAGUGAUCCACUAACCUUCUUCCCCUUAGUAGUCUGGACCUCAACAUCCUUUCCAGUAAUUUUCAAGACUUGCCCAUCAAUCCAAGCCUCUUCUGGGUCUUCGACCCAGACAUGAGAACCGACAAUGAUAUUUACAGGAGUUCCCUGCAUGUGUCAAAAGAAAUAACACAUGAAUCAUAUAAAGAAAACAAGCAAAUAAAUAUAAUAAUCACUUAUUGAUUAUCUUAUGCGCACCACAUCAAUAAACAACAAUCACCGUAACAAUGUGUGGUUUUAUAUUAUAAUGAAAUUUCUUAAUGCAAAAUCUAUUUGAUCCAUCCAGACAUGCUGGAAAAGGACAUUCAAUUCUAAUGCAAUCAACUAACUGUACCUAAAGCUAAACCAGCAGUAAAAUUGACUGUAACAAGAUGAUUGUAGAGAGCGUCAACUCAGUAAGAAGGUAAAUCCAUUGUGAAAUACAACCCAAUGCAUCCAACGCAGUCUUAACAAUAAUGCACCUCUGCAAUCCAACAAUUCUGAAUCUAAAAGUCCUUUAUUAUAGCAUGAGUUGCUGCCUGUCUCUCUCCUUUUUUUUUUCUAAACUGAACCGGCUUUUCCUCCAUUCACUAUACAAGAUGAGUCAUAAAGCAACAUGUUGAGUUCCUUAAAUAUUCUAAGAUUAUGAGGCUACUAAGAGUUCAAACCUCAGCACAUCAUCUAAAUUCCUUACUGCAAAUCAAACAAAGGCAAAAGGUAGCUUUUCCAUUUAAGCCAACUUGCUAAAAAUCCUAUAUCUGUUCAGCUCCUAACUAAAUUUUUUUCCUUAUAGUUCAGCAUGAUUUAUAGUCUUCUCGAGUCGUUUCCUAAUGACAUCCACAUUGUUAGCUCCUUGGUAAAUCUGACCGUCAAUUCAUUCUUGACCACUUUAGCUCUUUCAACGACCAUCAACCAUUACAUUGGCUUCGCAUUUCAAAACUUGCAAGCAUAAUAUUUUUUCAAAAUCUAUAAAUAUCCUUCAUUAUUUCAUUUCCUAAUUUCUUUUAAAACACAAUGAUUAAAUCAAACUAACCAUUUGAUGUCAAAUUCAAAUUUGAGUCUAGUGAACAAGUGAAAAUGAUUAUAUCAAUAAACGUGCAUUGAAAAAAAUAUCAAACCAACAAAAGUAAUCUAAAUAAUCCUCAAAAGUUCACUUACCAUUUCAAGUUUUCAAUUUGAAGCUUGAUAAUAUAUAAAGUUCUUGAUGGUGAAUGCCAAUCUUCAAUAUCAAAACCUCAAUCAUUGCACUCUCUAUCUUAAAACCGCCACAAAAACCCACAACAGAAGCUGACCCAUUUUCCCACAAUCAUCAAUGUACAUUCAAUCAAACACAAAGCUAUUCCAUCAAAAUAGGACCAAAUAAAAACAACCAAUGCCAAAAUCUUAUAAAAAAAUCAGAAACCAAACAAAAAAAAUUAAGAUCUUUCUGUUAAAUAUGAUCAAGUGAGAUAAAAAAAAUGUGAUAAGGAAAUGGAAAGGGGAAAGAAACAAGAAAAAAAAUGAAAAUUUUGAUUUUUUUUUUUUUGUGAAUGUGAGAGAUUGAUGAGAGAAUGACAUUGUUCAACAUGACCUGUUUGUUCGGUUAUGUUCUCCUUUGCUUUCGCGCUCCUUUGCUUUCGCGCCAAUUAGUGGCUACUAACCGAGUCUUCUGUCUCUCUGUUAACAGACUCCCUCUGUUCGCUGUCUUGAUCCCCUGUACCUUCGUCUACUGUAAUGUGGUGCGACUUGUUGUUAUAACCGUUUGAUUGUGAUGGAUCUACGGUCCAGGACUUUGCUCAUUUGUUCUUCAAUUUUUUUUUUUACAAUAAUUCAAGACAUUUUUUGGAUGAAAAUUAAUAUCGGGUCCUUUACUUUUUAUAUUUGUCCAUUUCUGUCCAUACUAAGGGUGCGUUUGAUAUUGAGGUUGGACAACUGUAAUUUUUAAGCUACAACAGUAAAGUAUUUGGUUAACACUAGAUAUUGUAACUUGAAAGUUAUAUUGAUAUAAUUUUUCACUUGUAUAAUAGAGAAUCUAUUAUAUCUUUAAUAAUUUUAUUAAAAUUAUUAUUUAAAAUUUAUAUUUACUAUAUAUUAUUAACUUUUAUUUUAUACUUACUAAUUUUUUUACUACAGCAGAGUUACAACACCUCAAUUCCAAAUGCACCGUAAUCUUAAUGGAUAUUAAUUAUGGCACAAGUUUGAAUUGUUUAUACACUGAGACUAUAUUUUCCUCCUAAUUACAUAAUUGGGCAGGGUAAGCAUCUCUUUUAGGUGGAGUAAAUAUGAGGUAAAAAUUUAAAUUGUGUCGUAAUCUAUUUAAUUUGGAGUUGUCCUAAUAAAUUUUUAAUUAUAAAAAUUGGUAAAUUUAUAAUAAAAGGAACUGAUCAAUGUAUUGCCGCGGGGGGGGGGGGGGGGGGAGGGAAAGAAUUUUAUCAAUGAUUUGGAGAAUUUUUUUUUUAAAGUAAAGUAUAAUUUAAUGUUUUGCAAUAUAAUGUUGAGUGUUAUUUUUAUAUUAAAUACUCUUAUUGGAAAAUAAAAGGGUCAAUAUAAUCUGACAUCAUAAUUAUUUAGCAUUACACUUUUUCCACUCUAAAUUAAAGAGAUAUCUCUUUGUACUCUAACCAUCAAUCUCUUGUAAUAGCAAGAGGUGAAACCCAUAUUAAAGAAAUAUAGACCAAAAAACCACUAAAAACAUUUGCAAAAUAAAAUUAACUAAUUAAAUGAACCUUUGCCUUCUGUUUACUUCCUAAAAGAGAGCUGGUAGCAUCAUAAUCAUAAUUCUAGAAGCAUUACAAGAAAAUGAAGUUGAAUAAUUGAGAUAUUAAAAGAAAUUAAUAUUGAAGUUUAAUUCUAGAAGCGUUGAAUAGGAAUAAUUUGUUCAAUAGCCAUAAAUGCUAAAAAUAAGACUUUUUAAAUGGUAUUACAUGUUAGUUAAUAUUCUUAUAUCAUCACAUACGUAUCAAGCUGAACUUAUAUAUGUUAGCUUAAAUUUAUAUUACUCGCGUUAAAUAUAAAUAUAUGACAUAAUGAUAUUACCAUUUUUAUGAUGUGUCUAACUUAAGCAUAAUAUUAGUAAAGUCAAUUAUUUAUGUUACUAUGCUGAAUAAUUGACGGCUCCUUAUAGGGCUAUAAUCACAUAAAUAAUGUGAUUAAGGAACCGUGAUUAAGCAUAAUAUUAAUAAAGUCAAUUAUUAUUUAUGCUAUUAUACUGAAUAAUUGACGGUUAAUUCCUUACAGAGCUAUAAUCACAUAAUGUUAGUUAAUCACGGUUCCUUAUAGAGCUAUAAUCACGUGAUUUGACUUCGGUUUGAAUAUCGAAAGCCUUUUUUUUUUUUUAAUGUUUAUUAGUUUUGAAAGCUUGAAGUUUGAAGUUCUCCAUCGUCGUUUAGACGAAUUAUUUAAUUAAUUAAAUAAUCAAUUAACUAAACAUGUAUCCAUUGUAGUAGCAGUCAAUCACCAUUACAUUAAUAUAUGAAUGAGAGAGCUGCCCGGACCACAAAUAAGCUUUUCUAGAAAAGAGGUUUUGUUACUCAUAAGUAACUACCCAAUUUUAUAUCUCAUUCAAACAAAUAAAAAAUAAUGGUGUACUUUUCUUAGAUAAAGUAAAUAACGUGUAUAAUCUUUUUUUUUCCUUCCCUAAAACUUAAUUUUCACCAUAAACCACUUCAUGUUCGAGUUGUGGAUAUCUCUUUAUUUUACCUUAAAAUUAACAGACUAAGUCCUUUCGUCUAUAUUAUAGACCAUAAUUUUCUUCUAAAUAUAUAUAAGUGACAUUCAAUCCAUUAUAUGUUUAAUUAUCGUGAUUGUACAAUAAUUAUAGAGCUAAUUUAUAAAAAUGGGGAAAAUUUUUAAUUAUAAGUACCCAUAUAUGUCGUAAUGUAAUUUAAAUAAAAAAAAUUUAAGUAGAAUUAUCUUAACCACGUACAAAUGACAAAUCCAUGACUUGGAGUUGAUUUUUCCUUCGUUUCCACCACAUGAUUAUUUUUGCCGUCUUAUGGUCAUUUGAAAGGCCAGUUCGAGGAAGCUUCAAUUUUUCAAAUUAGUCAAACGAUCAAGCAAAAAGCUUGAUGUUCCUUUCUAGAAUGGCAUACAUGCAUUGAGGCUGACUGUGAUAGCAACUGUUUAUGCAUGAUUCAUUUUUGAUGUGGGAGAAUCAUUGACUAACAAAUUAUUAUAAAAUUGGAUCCACCUACGGCUGCCUUGUAAAGUUUCAUUACACCCCUUAUACUCUAUGGGUGUGUUUGGCACACUGUAUUGUAUUAUACUGUAUUACAUUAUUUUAAUGUUGAUAUAUUGUAUUAUGUUGUAUUAUAUUAGCAUUGUAUUAUAAUAAUACUGUGUAAUGUUUGGCACUACACUGUACUGUAUUAAUUUUUUUAUAAUUAAUUUAAAUUUUAUAUUUUAUUAUAUUAAUAUUUAUAUUCUUAUUAAUUUUAAAUUAAUAUUAUUCAAAUUUAUUUAUAUUUAAAUAUUUAUUAUUAGUUAUAUUAUAUUAUAAAUUUAUUAAUAAAUUAUAAAAUAAAAAUAAAAAUAUAAUAUAAUAUUAUUUAAUAAAAAAUUAUAUAUUUAUUAAUUUAUAUUAAAUUAUAAUUUAAAAAUAAAAAUAUUAUAUAAUAUUAUAUUAAAUUAAAAAGUUAUCUUUAUUUUUUAUCAUUAUUAUAAGCAAAAACAAAAGUUAAAACAAAAAGCAAUUGGAAAAGAAAGAAGAAGGAAAAAAAAAAAAAAAAGAAACGCAAGCAGCCAAAGAAGGAAAAGAGAAAAAAAAAAAAAAAAGGUAAGCUGCCGCAUUAGCUACAGUAAUUUUAUCUCAUGUGAUGUUUUCCCAAACAUAAUAUUGGUAUUAACUUAAUGCAAAUAGUAAUUUAAUACCCCUUAAUACUACAACCAAACACACCCUAUAUUCUUUACAAUUUAUUCAUAAAUAUGAUAAGACUUUGUGCAUUAUAAAAUUUCGUUUAUCCCCUUACACUUUGUUUUAUUUUAUUGAAAUUCAUAGAGUACCAAUUCGCACCUUAUAAUUUUAAAUUUCUAAAAUACCCUCCAUUUCAUUAAAAAUAUAAUUAUUAUUAAAUAAAUUAUAAUUAUAUUUUUUAAAUAGAUUAUUAUUAUUAUUAACAAGAAUAAAAAGUAUUAUAAUUAAUUAAUCUAUUAACAAUACUUAAUAAUAAUUUUUUUUGUUAAAUUGUUAAAUUGUUAAUAAUAAUAAUAAUAAAAAUAAUUAAUGAUAAUUAUUAUUAAUUAAUUUUUGAAUAAUAAUAACAAUAACAAUAACAAUAAUUAAAAUACAAAAUAAUAAUAAUGAUAAAAAUUAAUUAAGGAUUUUAUAGUAAUCUGUUACAAUUUAACUCAUUAUAGGAAAAAGUAAACACAUAAAUGGUAAUACUGUUUAUUUUAAUUACGAUUCCUGCAGUUUAAGUAAAUAAAUUGUUCUGAUUCUAAAUUCUUAUUUCGAUUCUAACUAUUCUGAUUCUAACUCAUUAUUUUUCUACCUACUUUCGAUUCCUGUUUAGCGAACGCACUAUAAAAUUGUAAACCACUCUAUAUUCAAUUAGACCACUCUAUAUUAUUUACAAUAUAUUCAUAAGUAUUAUGAAUUUUAUAGUGCAAUCACUAAAAAAGAAUCGAAAUUAGCUGGAAACAUAAUGAGUUAGAAUCAAAAUAGCUACAAUCAAAAUGAGGAAUUAUAAGCAUAAUAAUUUAUUUACUUGAACUGCAGGAAUUAUAAUUAGAAUGAGUUGUAUUACCAUUUAUGUGUUUACUUUAUUUUAGAAUCAAAAUCAAAAUGAGUUAAAUUAUAACAAAUUACUAUAAAACCCUUAAUUAAUUUUUAUCAUAAUUAUUAUUUUGAAUUUUAAUUAUUGUUAUUGUUGUUAUUAUUCAAAAAUUAAUUAAUAAUAAUUAUCAUUAAUUAUUAUUAAUAUUAACAAUUUAAAAUAAUUAUUAUAUUUUUUAAUAAAAUGAACGGUGUUUUGGAAAUUUAAAAUUAUAGGGGGCGAAUUGACACUCUAAGAGUUUUAAUGAAAUAAAACAGAGUGUAAGGGGCUAAACAAAAUUUUACAAUGUAGAAAAUGUUAUAAUACUUAUAAAUAAAUUGUAAAUAAUAGGGUAUAACGGACGGAAUGAAAUUUUCCAGGGCAGCAGUAAGUUACGUUAGCUGUGACUUAGGCGGAACCUUAUAAAUUUUCCAUCAUUAAUUGUAAGUACUGAAGUUGGAGGAGAUGGUGUGCCCAUUUAAUCGGGUCCUGAUAAGUUUGGUGUGUUUCAUUGUACAAUGUAUAAAUUUUAAAAUAAAGAACUUGUAGGUUACAAAAAAAGACCUAUUAAACCGGUCAAAUAACAAAUCUUAAUUGAGUAAGUGUGUUAUUUUAAUAGACUAAAGUGAUUGUUCAUCUCUUGAACUUCAAUUGUACCUCUGCCAUAUUACAGUUAAUUAAUAUAUGUAUAAUAUGCGUGCAUAAAUUAAAUACAACUAUUAAUUAUAUGAUGGUUUUUUAAAUUAAAUACAUACAUGUUAUAUAUGUAUUAAGUGAAUAUGUUGAGACACUCUAAAAUCUCUCUUGGAAUUUGAUCAUAUUACUUUUUUUUUUAAUGUUGUUUAUAGAAAGUAUUUUGACAUUUGGAAUUGGAACUGAUUGAAGGUUAUCUAGACUCCGAAGGUUUAUUGUGGAGAUUAAACAUUAUCACAUAUCACUUACCGGUCAACUUUUAAUUCUCUGGAAUUAAGUGUGGAAAGUAACCCGAAUGCUUUGCGAAAGCCAUCAGCUUGUGUAGCAUUUGAUUCGUCAGUCGUUAACACUUUAGCAGGUAUUAAACUUUCAAUCGCAUUAGUACUGAAAGCACUGGAGGCGCACACGUGCAUGUUAUUUAUAUAGAGGGUUAAUUUUAAAUUAUUUUCUUGUGAGUUUUUUUUUUAUGGAUAACUUGUGAGUUUUUUAAAUUAUUUUCUUGUGAGUUAAUUAUCUUCAAGUUACUCUUUUUUUUAAAAAAAACUUUAAUUUAUUUUUAUUUUUAUUAAGAAGAGAAAAAAAAUCAUCAACCCAACCUCAUUUUCUCUUAUUUUUGAAUAAAAAUGAGGAUAACUUGACGUUUUUAAAAGUGUGAGAGUGAUUUAAAGAUAAUCAAUUCACAAAGAGAAUAAUUCAAAAUUUACUCUUAUAUGGAUAAUAAUAUAUAUAUGAAAUAAAUGGGAAUCAUAAUGGGCUGAAAUCGAAAUGAGUAGAAAACGGAAUAAAGUAUUGAAAUAAGAAUAAGUUGCUUAGUUGACCCCAUAGAAAUCAGAAUUAGAAUGAACUGCAUUUCCAUAAUUUCAUUAAUGUGUUUACUUAAUCUUUGAAUCAGAGUGAACAAUUAGAAUGAAUUAUUACAAGUUACUAAAAUGUCCUUUCUUAAUUGUUGUCCCUAGUGUUAUUUGUAUAUAUUAUAUUAAUAAAAAUAAUAAGAAUUAAAUAAUAAUAAAACUGAAAAAUAAUAAUAAUAAUGACAAUAAUAUUAAUUAAAACAAUAAAAUUAAUAAAUUUUGAUAAUGACGACAACGAUGAUUAUGAUGAUAAUAAUAAUAAUAAUAAUAAUAAUAAUAAUGAAAUUAACUACAAAAAUUAUAAUAAUAAUAAUUAAAAUAUAAAAUUAAUAAUAAUGAUGAUGAUGAUAAUAGAUUUUAAUAAUGAUAAUAUCAAUAAAAAUAAUAAUAACUAAAAUAAUGAGGUUAAUAUAUUUUAAUAAUAACAUUAAUGACAGUAAUAAUAACAAUCAAAAUAAUAAAAUUAAUAUUAAUUAUUAUUGUUAUUAUUAAUAUUAAAUAAUAAAGGAUCUAUUUGCAAAUAAUACAAAAAAUUUAGGUGUUUUCAUUAUUUUCAGGGAUCAUCAUGCAAAAUGACAAAUCUUGAUUGAGGAUGAUUUGGGAUUAUAAAAACUUAAUGUGAGUAAAAUUGGUAGUGUAGGGAAUCGGAGUUUGAUUUCAAACCUCCCCCUGGACGUUAGGGCCCAUAGUACAGAGCCUUUCAUUCAUGACUUGCUAUGAGCGAUGUCCCAGACCAUACCGUGCAUGAUGUCAUGCGUUGGAUCAAACCCGUUGAUUAUGUUUAUAUUUUAUAUAUGUAAACUCAUAGAUCUUAAUAUAAAAAUUAUCCUUGUUUGAAAAGCCCUAUUUAGCUCUCAUUUUGUAAAAAAAUCGAUAUCAUUAUUCUCUAGUUUUAACUGCUAACUAGAGAUGGCAAUGAGGCGAGCGGCACAAGCAUGGCACGACACGAGCACAUUUUAGUAGGCACACGAGACGGCACGACACACACGUCGGCUGAGCUGGGUUUAGAAUUUUAGGCACAUGGCAGCACGAUUAGAGAUACGUUAAAGUACGGCACAACAAAAGACCCAAAGUAAGCAUGUUUCAUUUUUUAAUAAAAGUAAAUUUAAAAUUUAAUAAUUUUAGAAAUAACAUGAAAUUGAACCUUUUUAAAAUAUUUUAUUAGCGCAAAGUUUUUAAAUUCAUUUAAUUCUUAGUUUCAAGAAAAAUACUCUAAUUGAUUUAUGUUUAUGAUUUAUUAAAUUAAUAAUCGAUAUCAUGAUUUUAUGAAUAUGUAUUAAUGUUAUUAUGAACUAUGAUUUUAUGUAAGUCCUAGUUAACAAUUAAGUUAACUCUAUGAACAAAUUAUUAUUAUUGUUGUUGUUAAGUAUUAAAAAGAAAUUUUAAUACCCUAAGGUAUAACUUAGUAAUUGGUAUUACAUUGUCUUGCUAUUAUUAGUUUAUUAUUAUUGAAUAAGGAGUUGAGUUUUGAAUUUUUGAUUCUAUUAAAUUUGACUAAAGGCAGAUAGACACAAAAAAGUACAUAAAUUUAAAAAAAUAUACCAAAAACUUGGCAUGUCUUCUUAAAAAAAAGAAAAUUGUAUUUUUUUUUUAAGAACAGCACGGCACGAGUAUGAGUACGUAUGAACCUUUUUUUAAUGACCGAUACGGCCCGUUGGCAAUCCCUAGUGCUAACUACAUUUUCUACUUGUUAAUAAGACGAUCAUUAUUUUACCUUAGAAAGUUAAAAGUAACCAUAAAAUUAGAUCAUGAGAACUAAAUGAGCAUUUUUUACCGCGAUAUAUUUAAACAGUUGCUUCCUAAAAGUUUGCUAAGAUCAAUAAUGACUGCAUCUAGCUAGUUUUCUGCUCAUAAUUGAUUUUAUUAUUCAAACAGGAAAAUUAUGGCAAAGCAGCCAGUUUAGAAUUUCCAAAAGACAAUGUCUCUAUCAGUCGUAGAAAAUUUUUCCCGAUUCAUCUUUCUGUAUUUUCCAAUUUUGUCAGUUUCCCAGUUAUCCUUUCCUUCCUGGAAAUUCAGUUUCUAAUUUUUAUUUGCUCCAUAGCUCCUAUAUAUAUUUAUGAAAGCGUAAGAAUUGGAAGACACACGACAAUCAAUAAACCCUAUACUCUCUAUAGCUUUCUUUGUUUCUCUUGUUUUCCAAAUUAUGGGCAAAUUUGGACACCAUUUUGAUCAUCAAGGCCAUAACCAGAGCCAAAGAAGCGGUGCUAAUAAAGGGAAGAAAAAUCCCCUCAAGGUUACAUAUAUUUCAAGUCCAAUGAAGGUGAAAGCAAGCAAUGCUUCUGAGUUUCGAGCUAUUGUUCAAGAACUUACCGGUAAGAAUUCAGAAGUUAAGGAUCAUAAUUCUGAUGAUGCAGUAUUUCCUCAUGCUGAAGACGCAAAAGUCUUUAGUCAUAAUCACGAAUCCGAUCAUCGACUCAAAAGGACUAGUACUUAUGCUGACGAAUUUUUGAGCCACUUAUCCUCAUCACAUGAUCAGUUUCAGAUUGAUCAUGAAAGUUUCUUGUGGAGAGAUGUUCCUGCUGCAGCUGAGAGCUCAUUUGGAUUUCAAUCCCCUAAUAAUUUAUCUUUUUAUGAUUGUAUUUUUACGGCUACUUAGAGUGUAAUUUUAUGGUCAAUAAUAAAUAUAUCUGAUAACCAGUACUCGUAGAUCUUUUAUUUCAGCAUGGAAUUUUUUUGUUUAUUAUUUAAAAAAGAAAAGUAAAGUAGGAAUGAAAGAAGGUUGGAUAAAACUCAAAUAAAUUUAAAAUUAUUUAUUUUUUGAAACUCAAACUCAAAUGGCUAACUAAAUAAAAUUACCUAAAAACCACUCAACGAAAGCCGUUAAAUUUUUUCCGCAUGAAAUUGAACUAUGUAUAACAUAUUUAUAUGUUUCUAACUUUUUAUCACAUAAGAAUUUAUUUAAGUGAUCCAAAACUAAUUGUGUAUUAAAAGUUCUAUCUUCGGUAAUGGGAAGCAUCCCAGUGAGCCACUUAGGCUAGUGAUAAUCUACACCCUCAACAAAAAUUGAGAGAGUGGGUUUAAGUCUUGAACUUGAGGUGUUCUUAUUCCUUAUCAUAAUUGAGUAACAGUAGAUGUUCUCACUCACAAAUACGGACCAGCAUCUACCAAAAUUACCAGAAAUAACAUUUUUUUUUAUGAAAAUCAAUUCAAAAUCCGGCGAUUGACCAUCGCCAGGCACCCACCAAAUCUCUUGUUGUCAACCGAGUAAAAUCAGGCGACAAUCCAUUGCCAAGAUUGCAAUCAAUCCAGUCCAGAAUAACACCGCUGCCAUCCAAUUAAAAAUAAAUUUAGGAAGAUUCAAUUUUAUAUAAUUUCGGUACGUAAAACAGAGACGAACAAUUACUAUUUCCUUCUUACAGUUUUCUUUUUUUUUUUUUAGUAAUACCAAAAUUUUUGUCAAAUUUAUUGAUCAAAAGACAAUUAUGAGGAAAAAAAAUUAGGGGUGACAGGCCUGACCAAUCCAUCCAAUCUACCAUUAUCACUUGCAUAUUAAUUUUGUUUUACCAUAUUUUACUGUGAUUGGCCAAAUGUAUGUGCAUGUGUCAAAUUCUUAGUACAUAGCGGCACAGAUAAUGCGACAUGGAUGGCCCACCUAAUUCGUGUUGUCGCAAAAACAUUGAACAUCCGUAUCAUUCUACUAAAAGCGUCUCUAAUGACGGCAUCUCAUAAAAGUUGCCCUCAUUGCACAGCGUUGAGCAUAAUCACGAUAAAUUAAUAUUUGGUAAAUUAAUUAUUUCAAUUAAUUAUUGGUCUCAAUUCGAGAUAAUAUAAUAAAU
rnacentral:lncRNA from 1 species